CGAGCGGACUUGAGAGAAGCUUGCUUCUCUGAUGGUUAGCGGCGGACGGGUGAGUAACACGUAGGCAACCUGCCCUCAAGUUUGGGACAACUACCGGAAACGGUAGCUAAUACCGAAUAGUUGUUUUCUUCUCCUGAAGAGAACUGGAAAGACGGAGCAAUCUGUCACUUGGGGAUGGGCCUGCGGCGCAUUAGCUAGUUGGUGGGGUAACGGCUCACCAAGGCGACGAUGCGUAGCCGACCUGAGAGGGUGAUCGGCCACACUGGGACUGAGACACGGCCCAGACUCCUACGGGAGGCAGCAGUAGGGAAUCUUCCGCAAUGGGCGAAAGCCUGACGGAGCAAUGCCGCGUGAGUGAUGAAGGUUUUCGGAUCGUAAAGCUCUGUUGCCAGGGAAGAACGCUUGGGAGAGUAACUGCUCUCAAGGUGACGGUACCUGAGAAGAAAGCCCCGGCUAACUACGUGCCAGCAGCCGCGGUAAUACGUAGGGGGCAAGCGUUGUCCGGAAUUAUUGGGCGUAAAGCGCGCGCAGGCGGUCAUUUAAGUCUGGUGUUAAUCCCGGGGCUCAACCCCGGAUCGCACUGGAAACUGGGUGACUUGAGUGCAGAAGAGGAAGAGUGGGAAUUCCACGUGUAGCGGUGAAAUGCGUAGAUAUGUGGAGGAACACCAGUGGGCGAAGGCGACUCUCUGGGCUGUAACUGACGCUGAGGCGCGAAAGCGUGGGGAGCAAAACAGGAUUAGAUACCCUGGUAGUCCACGCCGUAAACGAUGAGUGCUAGGUGUUAGGGGUUUCGAUACCCUUGGUGCCGAAGUUAACACAUUAAGCACUCCGCCUGGGGAGUACGGUCGCAAGACUGAAACUCAAAGGAAUUGACGGGGACCCGCACAAGCAGUGGAGUAUGUGGUUUAAUUCGAAGCAACGCGAAGAACCUUACCAGGUCUUGACAUCCCUCUGAUCGGUACAGAGAUGUAUCUUUCCUUCGGGACAGAGGAGACAGGUGGUGCAUGGUUGUCGUCAGCUCGUGUCGUGAGAUGUUGGGUUAAGUCCCGCAACGAGCGCAACCCUUAUAUUUAGUUGCCAGCACUUCGGGUGGGCACUCUAGAUAGACUGCCGGUGACAAACCGGAGGAAGGUGGGGAUGACGUCAAAUCAUCAUGCCCCUUAUGACCUGGGCUACACACGUACUACAAUGGCCGGUACAACGGGCUGCGAAAUCGCGAGAUGGAGCCAAUCCCAACAAAGCCGGUCUCAGUUCGGAUUGCAGGCUGCAACUCGCCUGCAUGAAGUCGGAAUU
rnacentral:rRNA from 1 species